GCUCAGCCCCCGCUGUACCGCGCUGCCUCCCGCCUUCCUCCCCCCGCCCCACCGAGCCGCGAUGCAGCAGCGGGGAUGGAGUUGUAGUGGUGCCGGGUGGAGGGGGUGAGAGAUUGGCUAUAAGGAGAAGGCUGACGGCUGCAGCAUGAAGCGCAUUAUUACCUUGUGAUUCCAUGACCCUCCUCUAUGCAUCCCUAACUCUCGAAAGCUGAUUCAGCUUUCAGCUAGUGCUCUGGUGAGUCCUCUGCUGCAACAGAAGCUCCUAACUGCUCUUUGGGCUGGUGGCCUUUCUGGAAGAAGAGACUUGGACUGGAUGGGCAGAAACAGGCACUGGAGAGCAUGAAGCAGCACAGAAAUCCUUCAGCAUCCAUCCCCAUCCCUGGCCGAAGGAAGAAAAUGAAGAUGCUGAGACGAGAGCUAAUGAACACACCAAGGGACGUGAGGAGAAGAACAUUAAUUGCCUGUACAGCAGUGCGGCGAGUCUGAGCAAUAAAAAAAGGUGGGAACGACUAAUUUAUGAGUGCAAAUUCUAUCUGGACAGCAUGACUUAAACUUGGGGAGAAAAUCCAUGUGCCUGGAAUAUUAAAAUCAAUAGUUGUAACCUAUUUAGAAAGAACUGAGUGGGCAAAGAAGGUGCAGGAGGGACAAUCAAUAUCAGAUGUGACAUUGCUGCGUUCCAAGCACCACUAGAAACUUAAGAGAAAGUGACCUCAAAUACAAAUAAAAGCUGAAAGAAGAUGCUUCUUCAGACCAUCAAAUCCCACUGACUCCUUAGUCAAAUAUCUAUAUAAUAUUUAAGAAAAUUUCCCUAUGCUGUCCUGGGGAACCUCAACUUGAAUUAUGUGAGCUGGAGGGCUCACGCUGCUGGGAAUUUCUAAAUGUCAUAGAAGAGCAUUUCCUAACCAAAACCAGGGGGAUCCUCUGCAGGAUCAUCUUGACAGCUGGCGAACCGAUUCGAGAUCCAAAAACUAGCUACAGCCAGCACAGAGGUGACCCUGUUUCAAUUGUACGUGCUGGGCACAGACAGAAGAAAGCCUGAGCCAACAGUAGGUCCCUUUGUUUUUCAGUGUUGUAAGCCAGGUCACCUGGAGGAUUUGAAACAGAAGAUGUGAAUGAUAUUUGGCAACUCUUUGUUUAAAAGCACUCUGGCUUCUAGGGAAUCUAGUAAAGUCUCAGCGUGGAGAAAGAGGAGGUUAUUCUGGUUAAAAACAGAAGCUCAAAGGGGAGUGAGAGUAGGUCUACAUUCACUCAAAGGAAGGAAGGGAAAGUGGGUAAUGAGGAACGUAAACCAGCCCCAAGCAGAAGGCUGUCAGGUCAAACCUAUGGCUAGCAGAGCCGAGGGCAAUAGGGAAGUGCUCUUUAGAUAUGAGAGACUAAAGUAGUUGUCUAGACAGAAUAGCAGACAUUAAAAAAAGAAUGCAUAAAAGGCAGACGCUAAAUAUUUAAUCUCUCUAUUUUGGGGGAAAAAAGCUAAGUGGAGUAGCAAUGUAAUAUGAUGAUGUGAAAUAUCUUCAGUUCCAACUCAGGAUGUUAAACAGCUGCUACUACAGCUACAGGAUUUUUUUGAUCAGCAGUCCUCAAUCUUCAGUGCCUGAGAGUUUUAAAAUCUGUCCCAGGAGCACCCCGGGCCGGCAGCGUCUGCGAGGCGAGGAGUUUUCCAGAAGACUGAAGCAGCGCUGACUUUGUGCCAAUGCACAAACGUCGAUGAGGGGGAUGACUUGCAUAAUUAUAAAUCUGAUUGUCUGAUGUUGAUUUUGUGAAAAAUAAUGGAAGAGCUGAUAAGGGACUUGAUUAAUAACAAUUUAAGGAGAAUAAUUAAUUACAAUCAACAUGAGUUAAUGGAAAAUAGAUCUUAUUAAAUGAAAUUGAUA